UACGUAGGGGGCAAGCGUUGUCCGGAUUUAUUGGGCGUAAAGAGCGUGUAGGCGGCCAGGUAGGUCCGUUGUGAAAACUGGAGGCUUAACCUCCAGCUGUCGAUGGAAACCAUCUGGCUAGAGUCCGGAAGAGGAGAGUGGAAUUCCUGGUGUAGCGGUGAAAUGCGCAGAUAUCAGGAAGAACACCCGUGGCGAAGGCGGAUCUCUGGGCCUGUCCUGACGCUGAGGCGCGAAAGCUAGGGGAGCGAACAGG
rnacentral:rRNA from 1 species